AGGGUUUGAUUCUGGCUCAGGAUGAACGCUGGCGGCGUGCUUAACACAUGCAAGUCGAGCGAAGCACUUUACUUGGAUUUCUUCGGAAUGACGAGUGUUGUGACUGAGCGGCGGACGGGUGAGUAACGCGUGGGUAACCUGCCUCAUACAGGGGGAUAACAGUUAGAAAUGACUGCUAAUACCGCAUAAGACCACAGCACCGCAUGGUGCAGGGGUAAAAACUCCGGUGGUAUGAGAUGGACCCGCGUCUGAUUAGCUAGUUGGUGGGGUAACGGCCUACCAAGGCAACGAUCAGUAGCCGGCCUGAGAGGGCGACCGGCCACAUUGGGACUGAGACACGGCCCAA
rnacentral:rRNA from 1 species